rnacentral:rRNA from 1 species
CCUAAGAACCUUUUAGAGAUAAGAGGGUGCUAGCUUGCUAGAACUUAGAGACAGGUGCUGCACGGCUGUCGUCAGCUCGUGUCGUGAGAUGUUGGGUUAAGUCCCGCAACGAGCGCAACCCACGUAUUUAGUUGCUAACGGUUCGGCCGAGCACUCUAAAUAGACUGCCUUCGUAAGGAGGAGGAAGGUGUGGACGACGUCAAGUCAUCAUGGCCCUUAUGCCCAGGGCGACACACGUGCUACAAUGGCAUAUACAAUGAGACGCAAUACCGCGAGGUGGAGCAAAUCUAUAAAAUAUGUCCCAGUUCGGAUUGUUCUCUGCAACUCGAGAGCAUGAAGCCGGAAUCGCUAGUAAUCGUAGAUCAGCCAUGCUACGGUGAAUACGUUCCCGGGUCUUGUACUCACCGCCCGUCACACCAUGGGAGUUGAUUUCACUCGAAGCCGGAAUACUAAACUAGUUACCGUCCACAGUGGAAUCAGCGACUGGGGUGAAGUCGUAACAAGGUAACCGUAGGAGAACCUGCGGUUGGAUCACCUCCUUUCUAG